rnacentral:rRNA from 1 species
UACGGAGGGUGCGAGCGUUGUCCGGAAUCACUGGGCGUUAAGGGCGCGUAGGCGGCGCGAGUAGUCAACGGUGAAAGCCCGGGGCUCAACCCCGGGUCGGCCGUCGAUACUCUCGUGCUUGAGCACUGUAGAGGCAGGUGGAAUUCCGGGUGUAGCGGUGGAAUGCGUAGAGAUCCGGAAGAACACCGGUGGCGAAGGCGGCCUGCUGGGCAGUAGCUGACGCUGAGGCGCGACAGCGUGGGGAGCAAACAGG